UGAGGAAUAUUGGGCAAUGCCCGCAAGGGUGACCCAGCAACGCCGCGUGGAGGAUGAAUGUCGUAAGAUUGUAAACUCCUGUUAGAGGGGAAGAAUAGUACCGGUUGGACCGGCACAUGACUGUACCCUCAGAGAAAGCCCCGGCUAACUACGUGCCAGCAGCCGCGGUAAUACAUAGGGGGCAAGCGUUGUCCGGAUUUACUGGGUGUAAAGGGCGCGCAGGCGGGAUAAAAAGUCAGUGGUGAAAUCCUACAGCUUAACUGUAGAACUGCCUUUGAUACUUCUAUUCUUGAGCUCGGGAGAGAGAGACGGAAUUCCAGGUGUAGUGGUGAAAUACGUAGAUAUCUGGAAGAACACCAGUUGCGAAGGCGGUCUCUUGGUCCGACACUGACGCUGAGGCGCGAAAGCGUGGGGAGCAAACA
rnacentral:rRNA from 1 species